GUAGUACUCCCUCCGUUCGGAAUUACUUGUCUCGGAAAUGGAUGUAUGUAGAACUAAAAUACAUCUAGAUAGAUCCAUUUCCGCGACAAGUAAUUCCGAACGGAGGGAGUAACUA
rnacentral:pre_miRNA from 1 species